rnacentral:tRNA from 1 species
GGAGUUGUGGCUCAGUGGUAGAGCGCUUGCCUAGCAUGUAUGAGGCCCUGGGUUCAAUCCUCAGCACCA